rnacentral:rRNA from 1 species
CCAGACUCCUACGGGAGGCAGCAGUGGGGAAUAUUGCACAAUGGGGGGAACCCUGAUGCAGCGACGCCGCGUGGGUGAAGGAGCACCUCGGUGCGUAAAGCCCUAUCGGCAGGGAAGAAAAAGACGGCACCUGACUAAGAAGCCCCGGCUAACUACGUGCCAGCAGCCGCGGUAAUACGUAGGGGGCAAGCGUUAUCCGGAUUCACUGGGUGUAAAGGGAGCGUAGACGGCGACGCAAGUCUGGAGUGAAAGCCCGGGGCCCAACCCCGGGACUGCUCUGGAAACUGCGUCGCUGGAGUGCGGGAGGGGCAGGCGGAAUUCCUGGUGUAGCGGUGAAAUGCGUAGAUAUCAGGAGGAGCACCGGCGGCGAAGGCGGCCUGCUGGACCGUGACUGACGUUGAGGCGCGAGAGCGUGGGGAGCAAACAGGAUUAGAUACCCGCGUAA